UUAUAAAUAAAGCUUUCUUAAUUCAAUAUUAGGAUACAAGAUUUAGAGCUAAAUUUUACAUAGAACUUUUUGUAAGUGAAGGUGAUUAUUAACUGCCUAUCCAAUCGCUUUACAACAACUGCCGUAAGCUGUCAAGAUAUCAUAAGUUCUCUUUUGUAUACUUGGCCUUUUGGUUGCUUCUUCUAUCUCUUUGAAUGGUAUUUAGAGGUGUUGGACUUGCUUAAUUGGGACUUUUUGUUGAUGUCUUAUCGAGAAGGUUUUAAGAGUUGUAAUGACAUUGAAGAGCAAAAGGGUAGAUUAUCUUGGUGGUAUCAAAAUUCAAAACUAUGGUUUUGGCCAUUUGGGUUUUGUUUAGAACGGUUGGCUUCAACUAUGCGUCUCAAAAGUUUUGUCAGCCCAUGAUCUAAAAUUGUGGUUUUCAUUUUGGAACUUUGAAAAAAGAAAACACCGGUAGCAUUCACUUUUUGUUAGUGUUAAAGAGGUACUUUGUAAACCGUUAUUAUGUUCUUACAAUAGGUUAAUUUCAUAAUGAUUCGGUUAUUUUUAUAGAACGAUAUGUCCUAUCUUGUCUUAUGUGGUAUGAAAUCACUUCGGAUGAAUCUCGACCCAUUUUCCAUUUAAUAUGUGAGUCAACGUAUGUUUUGUGGCUAAGGAAUCAAGACGAAAGGGUCUCAAGUCACUACAUGUGUUAUUCAAGUGUUCGUUGGCUCUCUUAUAAAAAGUUCUAAAUUCUCUUUGGAAAUGAAUCAACGAAAGAACAAAGGUUAUCCAAAAAAAAAUGUUUGAUUGCAUUGAAAGCAAGAAGCCCAGCCACGAUGUCAUGUGGGACGUUGGCACUGGGAGCACUCAGACCGUCAUCUCGCUUCGGAGCAUAUACAGAAGUGUAAUUUGCACAAAUACAGGCAAAAAUCAGCUCCAAUAUGCUCCAAAGCUAACUGGAUGCUGUAGAAACAGUGAGCCAUUUUUUUGAUGAGUAAUUUAUAAAGUUUUUGCUUUGGCCUUUUGUUUUGUUUAGGAUACGUGUGCUUCAUAUCACUGAAUCGUGUGGGUUUGUGUGUAUGUAUAUGUAAUAUUCGU